rnacentral:rRNA from 1 species
CCUACGGGUGGCAGCAGUGGGGAAUAUUGCACAAUGGGGGAAACCCUGAUGCAGCGACGCCGCGUGAGUGAAGAAGGAAUUCGUUAUGUUAAACUCUAUCAGCAGGGAAGAAAAUGACGGUACCUGAGCAACAAGCCCCGGCUAACUACGUUCCAGCAGCCGCGGUAAUACGUAGGGGGCAAGCGUUAUCCGGAUUUACUAGGUGUAAAGGUAGCGUAGACGGCAGUGCAAGUCUGGAGUGAAAGGCGGGGGCUCAACCCCCGGACUGCUCUGGAAACUGUACGGCUGGAGUGAAGGAGAGGUAAGUGGAAUUCCUGGUGUAGCAGUGAAAUGCGUAGAUAUCAGGAGGAACACCAGUGGCGAAGGCGGCUUACUGGACUGUAACUGACGCUGAGGCACGAAAGCGUGGGGAGCAAACAGGAUUAGAUACCCGUGUAGUC